UACAGAGGUCUCAAGCGUUGUUCGGAUUCAUUGGGCGUAAAGGGUGUGUAGGUGGCGCCGUAAGUCGGGUGUGAAAUCUCGGGGCUUAACUCCGAAACUGCAUUCGAUACUGCUUUGCUGGAGUACUGGAGAGGAGAUUGGAAUUUACGGUGUAGCAGUGAAAUGCGUAGAUAUCGUAAGGAAGACCAGUGGCGAAGGCGGAUCUCUGGACAGUUACUGACACUGAGGCAGCGAAGGCCAGGGGAGCAAACGGG
rnacentral:rRNA from 1 species